UGUACAUCUAGCUUGUCAACAAAUUCCGUGAACCCCCCAGUCCAGAGCCAGUUUAAUGGUUCUUGUUUUACUGACCUCAGAAUGGUGCAAGACUUAGCUGGGAAUGAAAUCGAGAUUCUGCAGCGUAUCUAGUGUACACAUUGUAACUGAAUUUAAAGGAUGGGUCGAUGGACCUGUACCAUCAUAAUAGAAUGUUUGUCGAUAUCAAAAGGAAAAUGCAAUGACUUAGACAGUAUAAUAACAAUUUUACAUGUAUAUCACUGUCAUGCCAUCACAUGAAUACAUUUGUGUAUUUACUUGCAUAAGCUGUUGUGACAUCAUGUUUGUGCCUGUAUUUACCCGAUUUGUGCAAAAAUAAAGAACGUUUAAAUUUUUUUUAUAAAAAUAGGAAAAUAAAGGUUAAAAGCAAAGGUCAUGUGUAGUUGGGCCACCUUUUUAAAGAAUGGUUUGGAUGGUGCUUUAAAAUGCAAAAAAAAGAAUUACAUGCAAACAUAAACCAUACUCACUUCUCACGGUUACUCAUAGUGACGUCUCACAGGAAGCGGCUCAGAUCUCAGCUUUCUAAUUAACCGCAAACAGGAUACAACAUAUAAUGUUACUAUAUCCACCAUGUUUCAGACAAAUAAUACGUAUUGAUAGGCAAAAUCAGACAGGAAGUUAAAUCAUUGUAUAUUGUAUAUACAGCAUCUUUCAUGUGCUGCCCAACAGCCCAUCAAUAUGAAGAAAUGUACGUCCAAGAAAAUGUCACGGUAACCGUAAAAAAAAUCCAAAACUUGGGUAGAUUCAUUCUUUAAAUAAAUAAAUACAUACAUACAAAUAAUAAUUUAGCUUCUUGCAGUAAAGAUAAAGUAAAAGUUCCGCAUUCUGUCUAAGUUGUAAAGUUACUUUUGCCCUUAGUGCGACAAUACACCCACUCUUCCUCUUUUUUGCAUAAAUCCCUUCCUUUUAUAUAAUAUUUUUGGACGUUCUUGGUACGUUGCUGUUAUCACAUUACAUUGUUCCCAUUGUCUUCAUUGUUCCUGUUCCCGGGACAGUUUUGUUUGACACCCCGGGUGAUCUGGUCUCAUUUUGGGAGAAGUAAAUAUUAGGAUGAAAUCAGGUUAAAUCUAGUUAAAGAAGGAAUUGAAAAAAAAUGUUAUUUUGCAAUAAACCCACAAUCCAGUGCAAGGUAUUAAGUCCUAUGCUGACAGUUAAAUGACAGGGAAUUAUUUCAAGCUGUAGAGCAUGCAGAGACAGGUAAAAGGGGGCCAGUUUAGAAAAUGCCAGCAGCAUGCACAAUAUCCACUAAUAGGGCAGGUAGUGUUGGGCAGGUGUACAGGAUAUAGAGCAGGUAGUGUUGGGCAGGUGUACAGAAUACAGAGCAGGUAGUGUUGGGCAGGUGUACAGGAUACAGAGCAGGUAUUGUUGGGCAGGUGUAUAGAAUACAGAGCAGGUAGUGUUGGACAGGUGUACAGGAUACAGAGCAGGUAGUGUUGGACAGGUGUACAGAAUACAGAGCAGGUAGUGUUGGAUAGGUGUACAGGAUAUAGAGCAGGUAGUGUUGGGCAGGUGUAUAGAAUACAGAGCAGGUAGUGUUGGGCAGGUGUACAGGAUACAGAGCAGGUAGUGUUGGACAGGUGUACAGGAUACAGAGCAGGUAGUGUUGGACAAGUGUACAGGAUAUAGAGCAGGGAGUGUUGGACAGGUGUGCAGGAUAUAGAGCAGGUAGUGUUGGACAGGUGUACAGGUGUACAGGAUACAGAGCAGGUAGUGUUGGACAGGUGUACAGGAUAUAAAGCCGGGAGUGGUGGACAGGUGGACAGGAUAUAAAGCCGGGAGUGGUGGACAGGUGUGCAGGAUACAGAGCAGGUAGUGCUGGACAGGUGUGUAGGAUACAGAGCAGGAAUGUUGCCGGAAUGCUAGUUUUGAGAAGCAGGGAUAUAGAAUGAGGAGCAGGGGAACAGGCUGGGGAGCAGUGGUACAGUCUAGAGAGCAUUGUCUAUGGCUAUGGGGAGGCUUAGAGGUAAAAUGAUCUCAGCAGUCACUUUGCAGACAAGCUGAACCUGCAUAACGCGAGCCGAACGAACAAAACUUAGACAUCAGGC
rnacentral:lncRNA from 1 species